ensembl:lncRNA
AAACGACCCUACGGCAGAUGCCGAGGUGUUCAGGGUGACCUUGGUGAUUCUUUCUCUCAGAUUAUCCGUCCUCGCUCACUCCCAGACGUGUACUGCUAAUAGGGCUCUUCUGGAAUUCUAAGUUAUUCCAUGGCCUUCCAAGAAGCUUCUCCCCCUAUCCGUUCCCUACAAAUGUUUGGAAGCACAGGAAAAGCAGCCUGCAGACUCCCAUUCACCUGGACACCCUGAGUGACACCGCUAUCGCUGCCCCUCUCGGGGGCUGGGCUAUUCUGCACGGUCCAGGGCUCGCUUGGGGCCUGGGGCAUCCCGGGGGCGGUGUGCGGCCAGUGGUGUCCUGGGGCGAGCUUCUGGGCCUCGGCAGCGCGGGAGGAGGCAGCGGCGACGCUGGCUGACAGGCUGAUGAUGCCCGGUGCCCGCAGCCGAUGGGAGGCAGCGUGAGCCCGACAGAACCCGGAGCAGCCGCGGUGGCAGCGCUGGAGCGCAGCCUCCUCCCGCUCCCACAAUGCACAGGGCGAGGGCGGCGGCGGCGGCGGCAGCGGCAGCAGCAUCACCGGCUGUAGGGUUGGCAGCGGCGGCGACCCCGAGGACCCCGGGCACGCCGAGCGCGCGACACUGCUCGCGGCGAGCCCGGGAGUGAUGGCGAGGCCCUCGCUGGCCGCCCGCGGCUGAGACGCCCCACCCCACCCCGCCCCGCCCGGAGCGGCCCGCCCCGCCUGGCCCUGCCCUGCUCCCUGCCGGCUGCAGCCCCGGCGUUUCCUAGUCGGCGCGGGCAGCCGCCCAGAAGAGGUGCGGCCUCCGCACAGGCUGGGGGCGUCGGCGCCGCGGGGCCCGCCAUGGCCGCGUCGGAGCUCUACACAAAGGUGCCCGGUUUCCGAUUGCUACCCUGUGGUGGAGAGCCCCUGGGGAAGAUGCAGACGAAUAAAUGCGAGCUGAUUCACUGGGAUGGUCGGUACUCAUUUGUCGCUGGGAGUUUGCAAUCUGCAUGUAAUCCCUUAGAGCCUUGUUAGGCUCCAUGUCUUCACCAUCCUCUGGGGUGAGCCUUUUCCUUCUGGGUUUUGUUUAAGGGAAGUGGCAGCCUUUCCUUCUUUCCUGGGGCUGGUAAUCUCUGAAUGGCAUAUUUUGGAGAACUGUCCCUUCAAGACAGUGUGUGGUGCCCUUUGUGACUGUGUGUAGUCAUGGCAUUUUAUACUAUCACUCCUGUGUAGGUAGAUGUUUUGCCAGCUGUUAAUUACCUCUAAUUCCAGUUAACAGAAUUACCUUAACUUUUUGAGUUUGCAUCUGCAGCCAAGUCUACAUUUAAGGUCUCAGAAUCACUGCUUCCAAAUAUGACCCAAGUAAGCCCAGGGCUCAAGUUGCAGCAUGUUAUAAAAGGAAGAGGUCUGGACCUGCCAUCAAGAGAACUGGAUUCUAGCCCUUGAUUCUAGCCGGGGCCUUUUCACUUACUGUGUGACCUUGGGCAAAUCACUUAACCUCUCUGUGCUUUAGUUUCCUCAUCUGUAAAUGGAGUUAAUUAUACCUGCCCUACAUCUCUUACAAGGUUGUUGUUGUGAGGAUCAAACAAUAAUACAUGGGAAUGCUUUUCGUAACCUGUGAAUUUCUCUACAAAUAUGAGGUAUAUUUCUUCAACCAUGAAAUGAGUUUGCAUGAAACAUUUCCUGGGACCUCUCUCUUUCCAGCUUCAGAUUUGAGGACUACACAAUGAAACUUCUCUCUAAACCUGGUAAUUCUUUAGGCAUUGUAGAUACCUAAUGUAUGAUUGAAUGCAAUUAGAAAUUGAUCCAAAGUUACUUUAUAAACAAACAUUUAUAUAAAGCUAACUAUGUGCCAGGUACAGUUUUAAGUGCUUUACAAAUAUUAACUCAUUUAAUCCUCAUAAUAAACAUAUGAGGUGGGCACUAAGAAAUAUCAGAGUCAUUUUCACAAGAAGAGAUAUGGUCUGUAAAUAUUCCUUAGUUACUUUGUAUAGACCCCAUUCUUCACUGCCUGAGGAGUCCAUCCUUCAGCUGCCUGACUAAUUGUAGGCUGCUUAACUAGACACUGGUUGGAUAAUACGUUGCUCUUGGGUUUUGGGUCUGCUUUUUUCUCCCAAAAUAAUUGGCAAGAAAAAAAUUUAAAAGAUCCUGUGAUUUUUAAAAUUGUAAGGUUUGGGGUGGGCUUUGGGCAUAAUCACAAUCUGUUUUAAAAUUCACCCUCUAGUCAUUGUAAAGACAAACUGGUUUAGACAUCAGUAGGGAAGUUGAGCUUAAGUUGCCUUCUCCUAAAUGCAUUUAUACCUAAGGAUAAUCUGGUUACUUGGUUUGUUUGUUGGCUCAUUCUUUUUGUGAAUGGACCUUAGCUUAAUGGCGGACAAAAAUAUUUAUUGAGCACCUCCUGGGUGCCAGGUACUCUGCUUAAUGUUGAGAGGUUCUAACAUAAACAAGACACAGUCCUUUCCCUCAAAGGGUUUACAGCCUGCUUCUUAUAUUCUUUGCCCGCUUUGAAUCUUCAAGGGCAUAAAUAACCUGCUGUUACCUCAGCAGCAGUCAGACAGCUGGUAUGGUAUUUAUUUGUAGAAGUUAGGGCAGAGGUUGGGACAUGAGAAGGUUGGAAUGAUUCUAGAGAUAAAAGCUUGGGUCGUGAUUUUUAGAGGACGAGGGAAAUCAUUAGAGGAAUAUAAAUGGAUAUUAAACACAAGGAUUAGACUUCCCUGGUGGUGCAGUGGUUAAGAAUCCACCUGCCAAUGCAAGGGACACAGGUUUGAGCCCUGGUCUAGGAAGAUCCCACAUGGUGGAGCAACUAAGCCCGUGUGCCACAACUACUGAGCCCACGUGCCACAACUACUGAACCCGUGUGCCACAACUACUGAAGCCCGUGCACCUAGAGCCCGCGCUCCGCAACAAGAGAAGCCACCGCAAUGAGAAGCCUACGCACUGCAAUGAAGAGUAGUCCUCGCUCGCCACAACUAGAGAAAGCCCUCAUGCAGCAACGAAGACUCAGCGCAGCCAAAAAUAAAAUAAAUAAAUAAAAAUUUUAAAAAAAUUGUAUAUAAACACAAGGAUUUUCCCCUUGCAGAGGAUUAUAGGGAAGGAAAUUCUGGGGGUAGACUACAAGGAAAGAUAUAAUAGUGACAUGCCAUAAUUAUGGUAUUCAACAUAGUGGUUAAAUUUGAAAAGUGCCCUUUUCAAAAUGGCAUUCAGAGCUUAAAGGCAGAUUUUGAUGUGUGAUAGAAAUCAGCUCCUAUUACAGUGAAAGACAAAAGACCAUUCAGUUUAUUCUUUUUAGCUAAAAUGAUAAUGGUUUUGUCACAGCAAUUUAGCAGGGCUUCCCUUUUGUAAAUUUUUCCAGCAGUAUAAACAUUUUAAAGGCAAUAGCUAGGUUACUAGGAUAUAACAUUUCUGGAAACUAACAUUUUGGUUAAAACAUGUUUGUUGAUUGUUAAAAUAACAGCUUUAUUGAGGUAUAAUUCACAUAAUGUACAAUUCACCAAUUU